rnacentral:rRNA from 1 species
UAUCGUACGCGAGGCAGCAGUAAGGAAUAUUGGACAAUGGACGGAAGUCUGAUCCAGCCAUGCCGCGUGACAGGAUGAAGGCGCCUCAUGGGUUGUAAACUGCUGUUGGAGUGGGAACAAUAGUCUUGAUGUAUACGUGUCGUGACGUACCAUCAGAUA